GCUCCGGUGGCCUAGUGGUUAGAGCGUCCGCCUCAGAUGCAGGAGGUUGUGGGUUUGAUCCCCGGUUGAGUCA